rnacentral:tRNA from 1 species
GAGGAUAUAGCUCAGUGGUAGAGUGCAUGCUUAGCAUGCACAAGGUCCUGGGUUCAAUCCCCAGUUUCUCUA